rnacentral:rRNA from 1 species
AUUGAACGCUGGCGGCAGGCCUAACACAUGCAAGUCGAACGAGUGGCGGACGGGUGAGUAAUGUCUGGGAAACUGCCCGAUGGAGGGGGAUAACUACUGGAAACGGUGGCUAAUACCGCAUACCAUCGGAUGUGCCCAGAUGGGAUUAGCUAGUGGGUGGGGUAACGGCUCACCUAGGCGACGAUCCCUAGCUGGUCUGAGAGGAUGACCAGCCACAUCGGAACUGAGACACUGUCCAGACUCCUAAGGGAGGCAUCAGGGGGGAAUAUUGGAAAAUGGGCGCAAGCCUGAUUCAGCCAUGCCGCGUGUAUGAAGAAGGCCUUCGGGUUUGAAAGGACUUUCAGCGAGGAGGCGUUACUCGCAGAAGAAGCACCGGCUAACUCCGUGCCAGCAGCCGCGGUAAUUC